AUCAGCACUGAGUGAAGAUGGCACUUCUAAAGCCCACGAUUUGUGUAGGGACAUUUUGUACAGAUAUUGUCCAUUGGGCGUACUAAAUGUACGAUGUUUUGGAGGCAAUCUCCACUUCUAGGUUUGUGUAAAUUUAUCAUCAUCUUGAUAACAUUAGACAUUUUGGAGUCAAAAUGAAAUAUUUUCAUGUUCCGAACAAGGAAGUAGAAUAUGUUUCUGGCAUGAACAGAUAAAACAUGAAAGAUAUCAUGUACAUAAAUUAUUUGUACGAUGUAGUUUAGUAACCAAUAAGAAACCAUUACAUUUUGCAGCAUUACAGUGGAGCCAAUAUUUAAAAUAUAAGUGUCUUUUUGGUCAAACAAAUUCUACGAAUGUAUGAACUUUAUUAGUAUGUAGGAUAAUUAAAGGUGAGUGAAAUUAACUUAGUUAAAACUGGCGUAUAAUUUCUAUGCGUAUGUGACUUUGACUUUGAAUGUAUAUAUAGUAACAGAUUUGUACUGAUAUUUUCGUUAUUGGUGACCCUGUUUCUACAAGUUCUUACAAGCGAGGUAGAGACGCUGUAGUCAGGUAAUGCAUAUCCGGUUGCUUAAUUCUUAUUUUAUUUAGCGUUUUGCUUUUGUUUUGUUAAGAACUAGGUAUACGGGAGAUAAUGUUCAAAUAAAUUAUUACGUCUUUUACUCGUCCAAAAACACCAACAGUUUUGAUGUAAUGCAUGACUUAAGACAUCCAUUCAGUGACGCAUAAAUGAUAGGGAAUCAACAUGGUAAAAAAUAGUGGGCGUUGUGUUACAAAAGCGAAAGUGUUUAUUUAAAUGCUAUAGUAGUGAGUUAUGUAAGGCUCUCAUAGACCAGUGUGCCGUGCAGGAUGUGAAGGAACUAGAACAAGAGUGUAGCAGUGUUUAUAUACAAUGUUUGACAUAAUACCAACAUACCAUAUGUGGGAAGUACAUAAAUUUGAACAGAAUGUGAAUAUCACAGGCAUUUACCCUGUUUAUAAUGGAGCAGUAAAUAAAAUAUGCAUAACUUGUAUUGUGA